AUGGUGACAGAGAAACUUAUAUAUGACGUUAAUAAUCUUUUAAAUGUUUUUAAGACGUAUUCACCCCAUUUUGGGGUUUUAUUUUUAAUUAAAGGCUUCUUAAAACAUGUGUGAAUAUGUGUAUAUUAUACAAAGAGUCUUAUAUUGUCUGCUCUGACAAAAAUAAAUUAUUAUUUUAGGUUUAGGGGAAUUGACUGCGUGUGUCUUAUAAAUACAACUUGAUAAUACGUUUGUUUUGUAAAGAGACUUCUUUAAAGGCACGCAAGAAUAAAAUAUUUUAGUUGUAACUGGUUAAACUUAAAGGCGAUAUUUUCUAUCGAACUAGUCUAUUUUCUGUUCAGACACAAAGUUUUCUGAUGCUGAUAUUAUGUCAGUGUGUGUUUGUGUGGGGGUCGUGUGAUGUAAUCUUUGAAAGUUUAUGACCGAACCUUUAUUGGGGAGCGACAAGAGAUCUCCCGGAAUCAGUUUGGAUGGAGCAGAGCUGUUAUACUCAAGUCUAUUGGUAUGUAUGUGUUUCGCAGUGUUCGUUCCAGUAUUUUGUCUGAUUUAUUUAAAAACUAAAAAUUCGAUCUCUGGUAUUGCAGCGAAAUUGUCUAAACUGGUGUUUAACUAUUCCUGGUAAAUCGCGGAGAAGAGUGGCCUGAACAACUAGAACAUCCCGCAGCGUAACACGGAAAUCUUGGAACAAAAGAGACGCAGAGUGGAUCGUGUUGUCCGGAUUGGAUAUCAGCGGCAAAGCGAACGUUGUGUGUACUAUUGCAAAAUAUAUAGCGGAUCUCCACGGUUAGGAUACAGACCACAACGCUUUGGACGUAUCUUUAAAAAAGAGAAAAAUCGGAGACUUUUUGGAUUUGUCUGGGACAUUUUAAACAUUUUGUGGCAAAUUGGAUUUAAAACGUUUCGGAUACUGGAUACAUGUGUUGGAUUUGUCCACAGUGCUUGUUUAAGACGUCUUCACCACAUUUUAGGGUUUAUUUUUAAUU